AGAGUUUGAUCCUGGCUCAGGACGAACGCUGGCGGCGUGCUUAACACAUGCAAGUCGAGCGGAAAGGCCCUUCGGGGUACUCGAGCGGCGAACGGGUGAGUAACACGUGAGCAAUCUGCCCUUAGCUUCGGGAUAGCCCCGGGAAACCGGGAUUAAUACCGAAUACGACCUCGGCCGACAUCGGCCUUGGUGGAAAGUUUUUCGGCUAGGGAUGAACUCGCGGCCUAUCAGCUUGUUGGUGGGGUAAUGGCCUACCAAGGCGACGACGGGUAGCCGGCCUGAGAGGGCGACCGGCCACACUGGGACUGAGACACGGCCCAGACUCCUACGGGAGGCAGCGAGUGGGGAAUAUUGCGCAAUGGGCGAAAGCCUGACGCAGCGACGCCGCGUGGGGGAUGAAGGCCUUCGGGUUGUAAACCCCUUCAGCAGG
rnacentral:rRNA from 1 species